rnacentral:rRNA from 1 species
UCUGUAUUGCGUUGGAAACUGUAUAACUAGAGUACUGGAGAGGUAAGCGGAACUACAAGUGUAGAGGUGAAAUUCGUAGAUAUUUGUAGGAAUGCCGAUGGGGAAGCCAGCUUACUGGACAGAUACUGACGCUGAAGCGCGAAAGCGUGGGUAGCAAACAGGAUUAGAUACCCUGGUAGUCCACGCUGUAAACGAUGAUUACUAGGUGUUGGGGGUCGAACCUCAGCGCCCAAGCAAACGCGAUAAGUAAUCCGCCUGGGGAGUACGUACGCAAGUAUGAAACUCAAAGGAAUUGACGGGGGCCCGCACAAG